AGUGAACGCUGGCGGUAGGCCUAACACAUGCAAGUCGAACGGCAGCACAGUAAGAGCUUGCUCUUACGGGUGGCGAGUGGCGGACGGGUGAGGAAUACAUCGGAAUCUACUUUUUCGUGGGGGAUAACGUAGGGAAACUUACGCUAAUACCGCAUACGACCUACGGGUGAAAGCAGGGGAUCUUCGGACCUUGCGCGAUUGAAUGAGCCGAUGUCGGAUUAGCUAGUUGGCGGGGUAAAGGCCCACCAAGGCGACGAUCCGUAGCUGGUCUGAGAGGAUGAUCAGACACACUGGAACUGAGACACGGUCCAGACUCCUACGGGAGGCAGCAGUGGGGAAUAUUGGACAAAGGGCGCAAGCCUGAUCCAGCCAUACCGCGUGGGUGAAGAAGGCCUUCGGGUUGUAAAGCCCUUUUGUUGGGAAAGAAAAGCAGCAGGUUAAUACCCCGCUGUUCUGACGGUACCAAAAGAAUAAGCACCGGCUAACUUCGUG
rnacentral:rRNA from 1 species